rnacentral:rRNA from 1 species
AUGCAGUCGAACGGUCUCUUCGGAGAUAGUGGCGGACGGGUGAGUAACGCGUGAGAACAUGCCUUUAGAUUGGGGACAACAGUUGGAAACGACUGCUAAUACCGAAUGCGCCUUAGGGUGAAAGAUUUAUUGUCUAGAGAUUGGCUCGCGUCAGAUUAGCUAGUUGGAGUGGUAACGGCACACCAAGGCGACGAUCUGUACUUGGUCUGAGAGGAUGACCAGGCACACUGGAACUGAGACACGGUCCAGACUCCUACGGGAGGCAGCAGUGGGGAAUUUUCCGCAAUGGGCGAAAGCCUGACGGAGCAAUACCGCGUGAGGGAGGACGGCUUUUGGGUUGUAAACCUCUUUUAUCAGGGAAGAAUCGAUGACGGUACCUGAUGAAUCAGCAUCGGCUAACUCCGUGCCAGCAGCCGCGGUAAUACGGAGGAUGCAAGCGUUAUCCGGAAUUAUUGGGCGUAAAGCGUCCGUAGGUGGUUUAUCAAGUCUGCUGUCAAAGCGUGCGGCUUAACCGCAUAAGGGCAGUGGAAACUGAUGAACUAGAGUGCGAUAGGGGUAACAGGAAUUCCCAGUGUAGCGGUGAAAUGCGUAGAUAUUGGGAAGAACACCAGCGGCGAAAGCGUGUUACUGGGUCUGCACUGACACUGAGGGACGAAAGCUAGGGGAGCGAAAGGGAUUAGAUACCCCUGUAGUCCUAGCCGUAAACGAUGACAACUAGGCGUGGUUCGUAUCGACCCGAGCCGUGCCGUAGCCAACGCGUUAAGUUGUCCGCCUGGGGAGUACGCACGCAAGUGUGAAACUCAAAGGAAUUGACGGGGGCCCGCACAAGCGGUGGAGUAUGUGGUUUAAUUCGAUGCAACGCGAAGAACCUUACCAAGGCUUGACAUCCUCGGAACCCUGAUGAAAGUUAGGGGUGCCUUCGGGAGCCGAGAGACAGGUGGUGCAUGGCUGUCGUCAGCUCGUGUCGUGAGAUGUUGGGUUAAGUCCCGCAACGAGCGCAACCCACGUUUUUAGU